UCAGAAUAUGAAAAACUCCCUUACCAAGUACCAACGGAAAUGAAAGGAAGAUGGGGAAACAAAACACAAGCACAAAAAGAACAUUCAAUUUCAACAACAUUCAGAAAAAAGGACACCCGCCUUCGAAAAGCCUGGAGACAAUUUGAAGUGGUUCCAUUUCGUACUUGCAGCCUUCACAGAUGAAGAAGAAAGGAAAAAUAAAACAAAAUCAGCUCCCAAUAUGUAUCAUCAGGAAGGCAAAAACAGAAAUGAAAACAAAGAAUCAGUCAAGUUUUGUUAAGGCAUGCUACAGCAGAGCCCUUGAUCAUCAGUCGAACCACCCAACCCCUUAGGGAGGCCUUUGCACAGGCUUUAGGUUCUCAAGCGCACUUCCUUUUAAGCAAAAGGCACCAAAAAAGAUUGUCCCAUGUCUAAUCUCAAUAAGAGAACAAAGAAAAAAGGAUAACAUAGCCUAUCAAUAACUUUUUUGUUGAACAUCGAGUAUCAAUAUAAUAAUCGAAAAUCCCUUAUUUUGUCAUCAACGGAGCAACCAAUGUAUAAGCAAGAAAAUUCAAAUUGCCAAGAGAAGUAAGAUAUAAUAUACUUGAGUCAACAAUACGAAGAAACUGAAUUUGUCAAAGACUUUCAUCGCAAAUGCAACUCAAAACUAACAGAUAGUAAAAUAUAACAAGUUUUACAACUCACCAGUAUGCUGCCACAACCAUCAACGUCGGCCAUCUCCACGCGAUCUUCUGUCACUAGACCGAGUAUCAUUAUAUGCCAUUUUCUCAGAAUGAUCCAAUUGUCUAUCCCGCACAUGACCUUUGAUCCCUUGUGAACUCUUUGGAUCGGAUAAAACCUUUAGUGCUUUCCAUUUGAGCAAAGCACAUCUGUAGCCAUAAAGACAAUUAAAACCGAUGUUAAUAAUGAAAACAAAAUCAUGAAAUAAAAACAAUUAAUUGCAUUGAUGAUUUAAAAGAAAAAAAUAGCUCUUUAAUCAUCUAAAGUACUUACCACAAAGCUUUAAAUGUAGAAAUCCAGACAUUUGCAAUGGGCAAUAUAGUUGCAUGUAGACUCUUUACAUUUGAAAAUUUCUUCUUGGCAAAACUUAUCACACUUAGAACAUUCAGGGAAGCCCUCAACCUUCCUAAAAAAUUUAAGAUGGUGACCAUGGCUGUGUUUAUAAAAAGCAACUGUGCUCCCAUCCUUGAGAAAUGGAAAUUGUCCAAGAACACAUUCGGGAUGAGCAGAAGUAUCACAGAUUGAACAAGAAUAAUACCAAAGGCUUGGAUCUCUAUAUUGCUCACAAAUAUCACAAUAACUUUGCUCCUUAUCAUCAUGAUAAGUAAGCUUUAGCUUGUGUUCAUCAAUUUUGUGAAGAGCUGAAUGUGGUAAUGUUAAGCAUCCAAAAUCCAAAGCAAAUCUGCACUUUCCACAUCUGAAUGCACCUCUGUAGAUAUCAGCGCCACAACCAUUACAUUUCUCCCUGUAUUUGAAAUCAAAAAAGAGAAAGUGUUGGUGUCCUUCACAUUCAAUGAAAUCAGCAACUUUAGCACACCUUGAGCACAUGUUCCAAAUUUUUUCAAUUUUGUAGAAGAAACCACUACAAUCUCGAUAGCAAAAGUCACAUUGCUUGAAGCUGUUGAAAUUGAGGGUGGCAUUGCUUUGACGAAACCAAUGUUGCUUGAUUCGUGGCAAUUCAGCACAGGUUUUAUGAAGAAAAAAGGGGCAUUCUGAACAAUAAUAGAAAAUAUUUGAGAUAGGUAGCAUGCACCCAUCACAUUUUCUAUCAAUUUCCUCCUCCAUCUUGUAUAUUAACACCAAGCAAUGCUGAUGAUUAAAAUGUUGAAUCUUUGUAGCUUCCCCAGCUUCAUUCACCUCAAUAACACGAAUGAUGGAAGACUGCAUAGAUUUUUCUUCAAGCUCCUCCCAUUGCUUUUCUUCCUCAAUUACCUUGUACAACCUUUCAUCCUCUAAGACACAAUUCACAUGGACAACGUAAUUGCAACCUGGCUUCCUACAAGAGUAACUCCCACGAUCUAGUUUUACUUCAUUGAAACAAAUCUUGCAAUCAUGCCUUGUAAGCUCUCGUGUUUGAAGAAAAUGUUUGUGAAAAAUGCAGUGAUCAUGUCGAGAAAACUUGAUGAUGCGUGGGAGUGAAGUGCAAUCCUUAUGGACCAUGAGGCUGCAUGUUGAACAUAUAUAUGAAAUAUAAUUUCCUUCAGUGCCACAUGCAUCACAAUUGAAUGAAUCUUGUCUGCUAAGUAAGGUGAAUGGAUGCUGAUGACAAUUUCUAUCUUCAACAGUAGACCUCGGCCAAGCACAUUCAACAUUGAUGCUAAAAUGGCAAAGAGAACAACUGUAAAAAGGUCCGGAAUGUUGCUUUUGGCAUGGGUUGCACAAGUAAUCACUAUCACUACGGUUAAGAAUAAGAGGGUGUAAGCGAUGUGUAAGGUGAUCAAUUUUAGUGGGUAACUCAUCAAGGCAUUUCUUGUGAAUGAUGAAUGAUGGACAGUCAGGACAAAGAUAUAUAGCAUCUGUCAAUGGUUCAUGACACCAGCAGCAGUUCAAUCUUUUGAGUACAUCUAUGGCCAUGGGACUUUCUAUGAAGGUCAAUGGAUGUUGGUGGAUGUCAUGUUUGGACAGUUGGCUAAACUUAAAUGAAGAAGAUAAUUGAGCACAUUUGAUGUCAAUGGAAAAAUAACAAGAAAAACAUUCAUAAAAAAACAUGUUACAUUUUUCCUUGCAUAAUGCACAACCAUAUACCUCGCGAUCAUCGAAGUAUGGCCUUUGUCGAAGAAAAAAACCUUUGCUUGAGUGCUUGGGAUGGAGAGGGUGAUUAGGAAUUUCAAGGGGUGCCUCUGCACAUUGCUUGUGAAGGUGAUAAUUGCAACGAAUACAAGUGAAGCAUGGAGCUGAAAGCAGUUCCCCACAUCCAUCGCAGUGAGCUUUGAGACCUUCAUUGCUUUGCUCUGCCACUAACACCAAGGGAUGUUCCUCAUGAAAAGGAUGCUGAAUCUCAUUCCCAUUCUCGCUCACACUCUCAUUCUCACUCACACUGUCAUUCUCAAUCUCACUCUCACUCUCACCCUCACUCACACUCUCAUUCUCAAACUCAUUCUCGCUCUUAUUCUCAUUCUCACUCACACUCACACUCUCAUUCUCGUUUUUCAUCUCGAUUAAUUAGUGUGGUUGUGAGAAAUGAAAAAGAUGAAGGAGAUGAUAGGAAGGAAAGAAAGGCAGAGGAUGAAGAAAAGAGUGAAAAAGAGAAGGGUAGAAAGAGGUAGGAAGGAAAGAAAGAAAAGAAGGGUGAAGAUGGUGGAAGGCAUUGCAAUUCAUAUUUAAUAAAAAAGAAAAGAUGCCAACUAUCUUCUUUUUCAUAUUUAAUUUUGUAACUCAUCAUUUAUUCUUCUUCUUCUUUUCCAAAUUUCAAUUUUGUUGUUUUCACGCUAAAGCAUUUUAUUUUAUUUAAUGAAAGCAGUAUUCUUUUCUUUUCUUUUCUUUUCUUUGCAAACAAGUUUGGUAUAUAAUUCUUUAUACUUUGUUAACACUUCAUCAAUGAAACCUUUUAUUUUAUUUCUUAAUUAAAUUAUAGAAUAAAUUUUAAAAGUUUCUCUAUUCUUAAUGCAUUUAGAAUUUAGUUUUCGUAUUUUUAUUUUCAAGAAUUUUGUUUUUCUAUUUUUCGAAUUUAAAUUUUUAACUUCCAUUAAAUUUUUUUUGUUAAAUUCAUUAGAGAUGAGUAGAAAGAGGUAGGAAGUAAAGAAAUAAAUAGUUACCACUCAUCAUUUCUUCAAAUUUCAAUUUUGUUUAUAAUAUUUUGUAAAUUUUAUUAACAAUUUUAAUAAAUUUCUAUAUUUUUAAAUAUUUUUUCAUAAUUUUAAUUUUUUUGUAAUUUACAUAUAAUUUUUGUUAUUUUAAUAAUCAUUAAUUUUUUUGGCAAUUUUUAAUAAUUUAUAUAUUUUAUUUCAUUUAUAAUAUGUUUUUAUAUUUUUUUUGUACUUUUAUAUAUUUUUAUAAAUUUAUAAUAUUUUAAAUUUGUAUAUAUUUGUAUUAUUUGUAUUAUUUUUUAUUAUUUUUAAUAUAAAAUAUUAUAUUUUACUGCAUAGCAUGAUCCUCGUGUGCCACGUGGCGAAAACAACCUUUAAAAAUAGUUAUCGUUACUCUUUAACGAUUGACGGUUAACUUUAACUGUUAAAUAGUUAAUAAAUUGAAAUUUUAACGUUCAAUAACUCAAUUGAAUUUUUUUUUAAAAAGUAUAAGGGCUUAAUCGAUCUUUUUGGAAAAAAUCAAGGGCUUUAAAGACCCUUUAGCCUUAAUUUUUACAUCAUAGCUAACAAAUUUUAAUGACUCAAAAAAUUUAAUCCAAAAACAUACCAAUUCAAAAGGGUAAAGAAUUUCUUAGAAAAAAUAGACAAUUAAAUUAAAAGUAAAGCAUUUCUACAACAUUAAUACUUUGCUUUCUUUAUUAAAGUAAAAAUUGUUUUUUUUAUUUGUUCUUUUCUUGCAAAUUAGGCAAUUACUUUGGUUUUUUUUUUAUGGGUCUAAGAUGACUUAAUCAUGCCAUGAAUACAUGGACAACAGUCCACAAUCAUACGAAAUUGUUAUCUAUAUAUUCUUAUAUAUCUAGUUGGUCCAUCAAUUGAGUUUAACGAUUAAUGCGAUUAAAGAAUAAAAUAUUUAAUUGAUUUUUUUUAUUAACGACAAGAAUUUAAUUGGAAACCAAUUAAAUCGAUAAGUCAAAAAUAAUUGCACAUUGCAUUCUCAAAUGAAGAACGUAAGUUUGAACUUUGAAGACUAUACCAUUGAGAGAGGCAGUCACGAACCUAGAACAUGAAUAAUAAAAUAAACUUGAAAAAUAGUAAAAAAAUAGUGUCAAUACUAACUUAAUUAUUUUAAAUAUUUUAUUAACAAUUUUAUGCUUUUUAUAAUAUUUUGUAAAUUUUAUUAACAAUUUUAAGAAUUUUCUGUAUUUUUAAAUAUCUUUUCAUAAUUUUAAAAUUUUUAUUUUUUUCAAUUUACAUAUAAUUUUUGUUAUUUUAAUAAUUAUUAAUUUUUGUACUUUUAUAUAUUUUACAUAUAAUUUUUGUACUUUUAUAUAAAACAAAUAAUUUUUUAAUAUAAAAUUAUAACAACAAAUGUUAAGUGUUAGAUGUUAAAAGGUUUAAUUAUUAAUUAUUAAUAGAACCGAAUUAAUAUUACCCCACUUAAUCAAACUAUAUAAUUCUUUAUCUGUUAAUCGAAUCAAAAUAUUUUAAUUAAUUUACUUAAUUAAUUAAAAUUUAUAUAAUUUUAUCUUUUAAUUAAAAUAGCUAAAAAAAUAUCAAAAAAUACAUUGAAAUUAACCAAAAUAUAUAUUUUUAUUUUAAAAAUUAAUUGAAUUACUCGAAAUUUUAUGUCUUGAAACAUUAAAUAAGUCUUAAAAUUAACACAUAAUUAUUAAGUUCAAUUAAUUAUCUGACUUCGAAUUAAAUUAACCAAUAAUUGAAAUUCCAAAAAACCAUUAACCAACCUCUGAUCAAACUAAGUUCGGCCACAAACUGACUAAUGAAAUUUGAUCGGUUCAAUCGGUUAAUUAGAUUUUAAUUAAAAUUUGAACACCCCUAUUGGAUGCAGUGAUAAUAUGCAUUGGACUCUUAAGUGAACAAUGCAAAUUUGAACAUUAAAGAUAAUAUUAUUGAGAGGAGUAAUCCAUAUUGAUUAACAAAUCAAUCCAUCCAACCCCUCUAAUGAACCGCCUAACCAGUUUGGGAUCCAACCGGCCAGGUUCAAACAACAUUGCAAGCCACUCAAUUCAUGAAUAUAAAAUAUGCAAGCCACUAUCAUUUCAACCACUCAAUCAGAAGGAUAACAAGAACACCGCCCUAUCAUUAACUGUUAGCUACAAAUUUUCUUUCUUCAAGCCUAUUUUGCACUUCAAACACCGCCCUAUUCUUCUAGGUAACUAUGUUCAACACAGACCCGAACACGAUAUCAAGAGGGGUACAAGAAUGACCCUCUAAGAACCUUCCAAUUUAAAGCUUCAAGCUAAUCCUCUUGGACCAUACUGUGGGGAAGAAGAAACUACGUCUCACUACUUGCUUAAUGGGAUAGCAGCUGACAAAUACCAAAUAUACAUUAAAGAAGAACAAGUUUGGACAUGCAACCAAAAAGCCAUUAUAAAUACUACUACUUCCUCCAAACAUACACAUGGCUUAUUCAUUAGUCAGAAUAUGAAAAACUCCCUUACCAAGUACCAACGGAAAUGAAAGGAAGAUGGGGAAACAAAACACAAGCACAAAAAGAACAUUCAAUUUCAACAACAUUCAGAAAAAAGGACACCCGCCUUCGAAAAGCCUGGAGACAAUUUGAAGUGGUUCCAUUUCGUNNNNNNNNNNNNNNNNNNNNNNNNNNNNNNNNNNNNNNNNNNNNNNNNNNNNNNNNNNNNNNNNNNNNNNNNNNNNNNNNNNNNNNNNNNNNNNNNNNNNNNNNNNNNNNNNNNNNNNNNNNNNNNNNNNNNNNNNNNNNNNNNNNNNNNNNNNNNNNNNNNNNNNNNNNNNNNNNNNNNNNNNNNNNNNNNNNNNNNNNNNNNNNNNNNNNNNNNNNNNNNNNNNNNNNNNNNNNNNNNNNNNNNNNNNNNNNNNNNNNNNNNNNNNNNNNNNNNNNNNNNNNNNNNNNNNNNNNNNNNNUUUUUGUUGAACAUCAAGUAUCAAUACAAUAAUCGAAAAUCCCUUAUUUUGUCAUCAACGGUGCAACCAAUGUAUAAGCAAGAAAAUUCAAAUUGCCAAGAGAAGUAAGAUAUAAUAUACUUGAGUCAACAAUACGAAGAAACUGAAUUUGUCAUAGACUUUCAUCGCAAAUGCAACUCAAAACUAAC
rnacentral:lncRNA from 1 species